GUCACUUUGGCGGAGUGGUUAACGCGCUGCCCUGCUAAUAUCCAUUGUUAGCUGCCUAGGCAGUUCCUUCGGGAGCGUAGGUUCGAAUCCUACAGGUGACG
rnacentral:tRNA from 1 species